UACGUAGGGUGCAAGCGUUAAUCGGAAUUACUGGGCGUAAAGCGUGCGCAGGUGGUGAUGUAAGACAGGUGUGAAAUCCCCGGGCUUAACCUGGGAACUGCAUUUGUGACUGCAUCGCUGGAGUGCGGCAGAGGGGGAUGGAAUUCCGUGUGUAGCAGUGAAAUGCGUAGAUAUGCGGAGGAACACCGAUGGCGAAGGCAAUCCCCUGGGCCUGCACUGACGCUCAUGCACGAAAGCGUGGGGAGCAAACAGG
rnacentral:rRNA from 1 species